rnacentral:rRNA from 1 species
GUAGGUGGCAAGCGUUGUCCGGAAUUAUUGGGGCGUAAAGCGCGCGCAGGCGGUUCUUUAAGUCUGAUGUGAAAGCCCACGGGCUCAACCGUGGAGGGUCAUUGGAAACUGGAGGACUUGAGUACAGAAGAGGAAAGCGGAAUUCCACGUGUAGCGGUGAAAUGCGUAGAGAUGUGGAGGAACACCAGUGGCGAAGGCGGCUUUCUGGUCUGUAACUGACGCUGAGGCGCGAAAGCGUGGGGAGCAAACAGGAUUAGAUACCCUGGUAGUCCACGCCGUAAACGAUGAGUGCUAAGUGUUAGGGGGUUUCCGCCCCUUAGUGCUGCAGCUAACGCAUUAAGCACUCCGCCUGGGGAGUACGGCCGCAAAGGCUG